rnacentral:rRNA from 1 species
AGAUAAUAGAUACCCGGGUAGUCCACGCCCUAAACGAUGUCUACUAGUUGUCGGGUCUUAAUUGACUUGGUAAACGCAGCUAAACGCGUGAAGUAGACCGCCUGGGGAGUACGGUCGCAAGAUUAAAACUCAAAGGAAUUGACGGGGACCCGCACAAGCGGUGGAUGAUGUGGAUUAAUUCGAUGCAACGCGAAAAACCUUACCUACCCUUGACAUGGAUGGAAUCCCGAAGAGAUUUGGGAGUGCUCGAAAGAGAACCAUCACACAGGUGCUGCAUGGCUGUCGUCAGCUCGUGUCGUGAGAUGUUGGGUUAAGUCCCGCAACGAGCGCAACCCUUGUCAUUAGUUGCUACGAAAGGGCACUCUAAUGAGACUGCCGGUGACAAACCGGAGGAAGGUGGGGAUGACGUCAAGUCCUCAUGGCCCUUAUGGGUAGGGCUUCACACGUCAUACAAUGGUACAUACAGAGGGCCGCCAACCCGCGAGGGGAGCUAAUCCCAGAAAGUGUAUCGUAGUCCGGAUUGGAGUCUGCAACUCGACUCC